rnacentral:sRNA from 1 species
GUUCGCCGCCGGCGACGUCGCGAGAAGUCCACUGAACCUUAUCAUUUAGAGGAAGGAGAAGUCGUAACAAGGUUUCCGUAGGUGAACCUGCGGAAGGAUCAUUGUCAAAACCUGCACAAGCAGAACGACUCGCGAAUCGUUUACGUUGUAACUUGUGGGUCGAGCAGCCUCUACAGCUCCUCGGCCUAACAACAAACCCCGGCGCGGCAAUGCGCCAAGGAAACGAAAAUGGAUGCAACAACACCUCGUUGGUUGGACUGCGAGGUGACGUUGGUAUUCCGAACUCACGAACGACUCUCGGCAACGGAUAUCUCGGCUCUCGCAUCGAUGAAGAACGUAGCGAAAUGCGAUACUUGGUGUGAAUUGCAGAAUCCCGUGAACCAUCGAGUCUUUGAACGCAAGUUGCGCCCGAGGCCACCAGGUCGAGGGCACGUCUGCCUGGGCGUCACGCAACGCGCCACAUCAACCCCACCAACGAAUCGCGGGGAAGAGAGUGGAGAUUGGCCUCCCGUGACUAGUGCACGGUUGGCUGAAAGAGAUUGCCCCUGGUGGCUCGACGUUGCGAUCAGUGGUGGAUGAAACCUCUUCGCCGUGAUCGGUUGACCUGAUCGCACGAUCGUCGCCAGGGAAAAACGGGACCCCCUUGUGGAUUAAAUACCAGCGACCCCAGGUCAGGCGGGGCCACCCGCUGAGUUUAAGCAUAUCAAUAAGCGGAGGAGAAGAAACUUACAAGGAUUCCCUUAGUAACGGCGAGCG